ACAAAUUGGUUAUCUAACAACUAAUAUCAUUGGUUAAGAACAAAUUGGUUGAUUUAACAAAGAUAUUGGUUAACUUUAAUAACAGAUUGGUUGAAAAAUGACUAAUAUCAUUGGUUAAGCAAAUGUUAACUAAGAGAUUGGUAACUGACGCAGGUCUGACGCUCAACGUCAAGUACGUAACUCUGCUUCUCAAUUUUCUGACAAAGCCGCCAUCUUGGUGCUGCAGGAAAGCCGUUUGAGAUAUUGGUGGAAUUCAAACACUUUGUGAGAUGACAGAAUAUUGCUGAAGGAUCCUACAUGGAAGCUGGCUGAUUACACGGAGUGAUUCCUCUGGUGUGGUGUACCUCAGAGAAAUAAACACUGUUGCAAGAGCUGAGAAGAUGGCCAAGAUAUCCUUAUUGCUGGAUGGUAGCUCUGGUCGUAGUGGACCAUAUCUGCAAAUGCUUCUGAACAUUGACAGAAUUUCUAAAGAUGACUGAGAAUAUUACUGAAGGAUCCUACAUGGAAGCUGUCUGAUUACACUGAGUGAUUCCUCUGGUGUGGUGUACCUCAGAGAAAAUAAACACUGUUGCAAGAGCUCAGAAGAUAUCCUUAUUGCUGGAUGGUUGCUCUCUGGUCGUACUUGAGCCCCCUGGACCAUGUCUGCAAAUGCUUCUGAACAUUGACAGAAUUUCUAAAGGAUCGCUGAGGACUCCCCCUCCAUGCGUGACAUCUUUGAGAAAUUUCCACGCUUUCUGGAGAUGCCAAGUUUGACUGGAAUCAACUUUGCAUCCCUCGGCACUGACACUGAGAAGGUUUCAAGGACCCCACUACUAGGAGGCGAGAGUUUGACACGGCAGUGUCAUCACUGCCAUGGAUGACAAUGUAACCAUUCCUGUUGCUGAUUGCCUGACUUGCGCAGUGACAAGCUUUUCAUGCUCUACUGGGUGUGUAACUUGGCAUAUCCACCACAGUUUAACUCUGUUUUUGCCUCUUUUGAAUAUGUGUACGAUAUAACCAUCUCAACCAAAAAGUGGGCCAAGGUACUGGAACAUUUCUCACUUCAAGUUGCUCUGUAGUCACUGGACAUUUUUUAAAACAUCUACGCAAACACCACCACUCCACACCAUGUGUAUUUUAAUUACUUCUGAUUCCACUGACAUGCAGACUACAUCCUAUGCAGAUUCAGGUAAUUUACCUGGUACUGGAGAAACAGCAUUGUAUGCCAUUCUAAGUGAUACUUGCCUCCUUGUUUUGCAAAAAUGUACUGUUCUUUGAAUAUAACUUAAAGUAAGAUCAUGUUGACUCUGAGGUUUUCUCCGGUUGUCAAGCACAACCUUAACGUUUUGUAAGUAAGUAAUAGUCACAGGAUAUGCAUGCAUUUGUAAUUUGAAUUUUCGUCGAAAACGGCUCACCAAGCAUAAAAUGUUACCUCUGCUUUUGAUUUUUCUUUUUUUUUAAAUGUCCCUUAAUACCAGCCUGUCUUUUUGUUGUGUCCACACAACUUUACCAUCAUCAGUGUUGGGAAGGAACAGAUUGCUGUAAGUUACUGUAUCCCCAUCCUUUCAGAUCAGUGCUUUAAAGCCUUUUGAAAUUAAAUUGUUAAUAAACUUUGUGAAAACAAACUCAAA